AUUAGAUUAUCAUAUAUAAUUUAUAAAUUGAAUGUCUGAAGAGUAACGGAAAAUGGUCAUACACACAGGUAAUUGCACACACGAAAGAGUCGGCAGCAAUUAUGAAAUACAUGUAUCUGACAUUGAAAGUGUGCACCAUUAUUUUCAUUACAUAAAAGCAUAUGUUGCAAUUACUAUUAAUUCAGAAGAGGUAAGUUGUCUUAGUGUUUGAUCUUAGGCUUCUUCACAAUCAUCAC
rnacentral:misc_RNA from 1 species